rnacentral:miRNA from 2 species
UCUCACAUCUCUUUAUUCACAG